rnacentral:tRNA from 1 species
GGAGGAAUACCCAAGUCCGGCUGAAGGGAUCGGUCUUGAAAACCGAUAGGGGCUUAACGGCUCGCGGGGGUUCGAAUCCCUCUUCCUCCG